CAGUGCUGCAAAUACCGUGAAAACAUCUUGAGGAAGAUGUGGGCAUUAAAAGAUGAAGGUCUGGAAAGAACAGUGUCCUCAUCCAGUUUUGGUACCAAAGUAGCAUCAUAAAAUCAGUUGACUGAAACAUGGGUGUGUAAAGGAGCCAGCUUCAACCAUUGAAAUGAGACUGUCCUAUAACCACAGGAAUGAGGAGGUGAUGGAGCAUCAAGAUAGAAGGAAACAUAUUUUGGAUGACCUCCUGGAGGAGAUCCUGCCAGACUUGGACUUCUUACCUGUGGACUCUUAUAUCCUUGGAACAGAAGAUCUUAUUGUGGAAGUGACUGCCAACGAUGCCGUGAGGUUUUAUCCCUGGACCAUUGAUAAUAAAUACUAUUCAGCAGAUAUCAAUCUAUGUGUGGUGCCUAACAAAUUUCUCGUCACUGCAGAGAUUGCAGAGUCUGUUCAAGCAUUUGUGGUUUACUUUGACAGCAUGCAAAAAUCUGGUCUUGAUAGUGUUUCCUCCUGGCUUCCACUGGCAGAAGCAUGGUUACCUGAGGUGAUGAUCUUGGUUUGCGAUAGAGUGUCUGAAAAUGGUGUAAACCGACAGAAGGCUCAAGAGUGGUGUAUCAAACAUGGCUUUGAAUUAGUAGAACUUAGUCCAGAAGAGUUGCCUGAGGAGGAUGAUGACUUCCCAGAAUCUACAGGAGUAAAGCGAAUUGUUCAAGCCUUGAAUGCCAAUGUCUGGUCCAAUGUAGUGAUGAAGAAUGAUAGGAACCAAGGCUUUAACCUUCUCAGCUCAUUGGCUGGAGCAAACCAUAGCACUGGAUCAGCAGAGACCUGCCACUCAGAGCAGCCCCAGUUGCCAGCAGCAGAGAGGACUGAACCCCUCUUGGAUAAUCGAGGUGGUGCAUCUAAUACAACAGACACUCAGGUCGAUAGCAUCGUGGAUCCCACGUUAGACCUGGAUAUUCAAGAACUAGCCAGUCUUACUACAGGUGGAGGAGAUUUGGAGAAUUUUGAAAGACUAUUUUCAAAGUUAAAAGAAAUGAAAGACAAGGCUGCGACGCUUCCUCACGAGCAAAGAAAGUUGCAUGCAGAAAAGGUGGCCAAAGCUUUCUGGAUGGCAAUUGGGGGAGACAGAGAUGAAAUUGAAGGCCUUUCAUCUGAUGAAGAACACUAAAUUAUUCAUGCUAGGGCUUGACUACCAAAGACCCUAGCUCCCUCUACCUGAGAUACUUCCCUACUCAACCCAGUCAUCUUUUGCUGAGCUCCCCAUCAUCAUGUUGGCCGCCUGACUUGUUUAUAGGCUCCCGUGAAUUUUAGUUUUUAGCAGGGGGUAAAGCAGAAAUCUCUCCUCCCUCAGAAUAUCGUGGGGGAGUGAGAAUGACAAUGAGUGAGGAAUUCUCAAAUACACUUUUUUGCUCUAGGAACAGGGGUGGGAUGAGGCUCAAAGGCCUGUGUGAUGUGACCAAGUUAAAGGCGAAGAACCACCAAGCCAUUCCUAGUCAGUCUUCUAAGCAGCAUUCCCCGCGUUCACACUUGAUCACUGCAGAUCGGGAGCUUGUGCCACCUUUCCUGGGUUCUGGAUUCUUUCUGUCAAGGAACUUGCUGCUCUGAGGUUUGAUGCUUUUGAUGGGAGGAAAGAUUUAAUCUGUGCUGUACUAUAGACUAUGUGCCAAAGCCACUGCCCCUCAGGUUAGUCUCUAGCUAAAAAAAAAAAAAAAAAAAAAUGCAUCUGGGCAUUUCAUUUGAAAUACAGUAUCUGAGCUCAUGCUAGAAAGUAUUGAGAAACAUUGUGAAUUUUUAGACUGUAGUAAAUGAUGCAAGAGUUUCCCACUCUGGUAGGGAUAAAAUAAACCCUCCUCUACCAAGUUGUGGGUCUGUCGAUGUGCGUGUGUAAGAGAGAGCAGCUUAAGGAAUUCCCUCUAUAGGCCACUGAAACGGUAUGAUCAUAUCCUGAGACACUCGCAUUAGUGUUACCGUGGAGAAAGUUUUCUUUCUUAGAGUUCGCUACUUGAGAUGGCAGAGCUGUGUUGUCACAACUUAUACCCUCAAAACAAGGCAAGUUUCCUUUUCUCUUUCUGAAAGCCGGAGAUCACUGCCAAAAUAGUAACACUAAGGAGUGGGCGUGGUGGGAAAGGAUAUGAAAUGUUAGGCAGUGAAUCCCUGAGUACCUUGUGUUACUUCCAGGGCUGGGUGGGUCAGCUCUAGGGGAACUGAUCACCAAGGGGAAAGUUUCCAGAGGAAGAGUGGGAAAUAGAGCAAAUGUAAUCCUUAUUUCUGUUUUCGUAGGUACUUUGUAAUGCAUGUCAUGAGCCUUUACUGUGGUAGUCACUGCCAUGGCUCUAAACUGGCUCAGGGCACAUGGCCUGAGAACUGCUGCUGGCCUAGUGUGGGUAGGAACCUCUUAGGUCACCAGCAGAAACAAGUUUCAGACACCUUUGUGCAACACCUUCUAAGCACUGCAGAACCUGACAGAUGGCAGAAUGACUGGAAUGCUCCAGGUUCCGGGCCAGGGUGACUGCAGGAGGGAAGGUUUCAGUGAUUGGAGCCAUUCCAGGGAACAUUGGAGGCUAUCUUGCUUGAUACUUUUUUUCUUUUUCUUUCUUUUCUUUUUUCUUUUCACUAUUCUGAAGGUCUUUGAGACUGUAGUUUACUAUCAUUCCAUCAGUGUUUCUUUGAGGUAACUGCAUCAGCCAUUGACUGGGAAUAUAAGGGAAGCUGGCCCUGGGGUUGCAAGAUGAAAGGUGGAAGAUAUUUUUCUUAAAACAUGAAAGGUUUCAGAAAAUACAUUAGGUCACGUGGUUAGGGAAAACAAACUAGAAAAAGCUGUGAACUUGAUUUUGUGGAUUAAACAAAGCCAGGUGAUUAAAAUGUGAUUUAUUUAUAAAGUCUGCUUAUGUGUAUUUUUAUGAUUUUGUUGGUUUUUUUGGGGGGGGUGGGGAAGCCUUCCUUUAUUGGAUUAGGCAUAAACAGCAAAUAAUCUAAGAGUUUGUCAAACUCACUCUUUUAGAAUCCACCAUUUAAAUGUAUAAUAUCAAGUCAUGUUUUCAAGAUCUCAGCUAUCUGGGGGUAUUGGCCCCUUCUAGGGGAGAUGUGAGAUUAAAGUGUCCAGUGGUAUCUACUAAAGGCCCAUUUUAAGAAGAGUGAUCAUGAGCUAAUAGUGUAAUAAAAAUUGCAUUCUAUCUAAAGUGACCUAUGUACAUGCCACCAUAAGUUAUUAUGGACUGUCCAUCUGGGAUUUAAAACAAGAACCUCGGCUUUAUUUUUUCCUUAAGCAUUUUUCUGUUUGUGUAACACGGUGUCUGGCACAUAGUGGGCACUUAAAGCUGGUUUGGACUUGCAUUCAAUAGUUUUGAUGAACAUGAUCCUAAAGUUUUAAGGUCCAUGAGUGUUGGGAGGUAGGGAGAGACAAGAAUAAACUUUUUAUUUCCCUGAGAAAAUCAUAUGUUAUGUAAUAAUUUUAGAGUGAUGAAGACAUAGAUAUUUUUAUAAUUUUAAGAUAUGUUAUCCUGCCAGAAUAUGAGAAGAUUGACAGAACCAGUUUGCUUGCUCUCUUUUUAUAGAACUUGGCCACAUCUAAUUCAGAGAAGCUGGAGAUUCAGGGAUGCUAGACUUAGAUGGCUGAGUAAUAUGGGAUGUGGUUCAAGGCCCAUAGAGCGUGUCAAGCCAUUACUGCAAACUACUUAUAACAAAGGAAAUGUGAUCUGUUGCUAACUUCGUGUUCCCACCAUGGAGAGGUGAGGAUAAACAUUUUUGCCGUGGCCUGUCAGAUUCCCUUAACCUUGGGUCAGUCUCUUGACAGUGGCCAUCGAGAGAGCACGUGGAGUGCCCCUUGCCCUGCCUUGGCCUGCCGUGGAAAAACAGUCUUUGAAGAAUCACUGUCUGAGGAAUGAAGAAUUGAAAAGAGGUAAUAGCAACAGCGUGAUCUUUUGUUGAACACUACUGAGCCCUGGUCCAGCUCUAAAUGAUGUGCUGUUCUACUUUGUUUCCUGUUGGAAAAGUAUUGAUUCAAAACCUGGACCUAAUGGUUAUAACUAACUGCAUCUUUAGAACACAGGUGGCUUUAAUGCUACAAAAUGUAGGCUGAGUGAGGCCUGGGGUAGGAACUUUAUGGAAACAGCAGCAUAAUUUAGGAGAGAAGAGUCUGUUCCUUUGAAGCCCAAGGACAUGGUCUGCAUCAAUCCUGUUGUUCCAGGAAAUCUCAGGAAGUCAUUAAUGGUGUUAGAAGGCCUCAAACUUGAAGUUAAGGACGAGCAACUGCAACCUGUUCCUUUAUCCUGAUGAGAGCUGAAGCAAGGACUCAGUGCAGCCAGCACUGGCUGGGACCCUUCUUGGUGACAGAGUGCGCUGGCCGUGGCCGAACCUGCAGACUUGGGUAAGGACGUGACGUGGGUUCUCUUCCCUAGCAGCUCAUUGUCUAACUCAGGUGGCAGAAGGGGGCGAGCAAAGUGAGGCUACAAAAGGUCGAAUGCUGGGCAGGAUGUGAAGAGUGCUGUGUCCGGCCUUAAUUGCUGUGGAAGGAGAGCGCCGAGUGGGUUGGGAAGAGCAUGAUGUGCAUCCUGGAGCAGUGGUUCUCAAUCAUGAGCCCAUGUCGGAAUCACCUGGAGGGCCCCACCCCAGGAUUUCUGAUUCAGGAGGUCUGGGGGAAUGUGGGUUUCUAACUUUCCAGGUGAUACUGAUGUUGCCGACCAGAGACCACACUUUGAGACCCAUUGACUUUGAGGAAGCGAUGCUUGACUUGAGCGUUUGGGGAUAAGAAUUUGGGCAGGUACGUGGGUGAAGGCUGCAAAAUUCUUAGUGGAAGCUAUGGCAUGAACAAAGGUAUGGAGAUAAGAAAGCAAGGGGUUAUGUUGGGGAAACCCCAGUAGUCCAGCUAGAGAAAUGGUGGUAGAUAAGGAUGGAGUGAUGCUGAGAACCUUGGAAUUCCGCUUUGUGCCUACUCGGGAGGUAAUCAAGGAGCCAGCGGGUUUCGAGUAGAAGACAUGUAACUGUAAUUAAUUCCAGGAAAAUCUGGCAGCAGGACUAGCCAACACCAAUUGAUCACCAGUCUGCCUGGAGAGCUGUGUUGAGAAGGAUUCUGAAGCUGAGAAUGGACCCAGCAGUGUGAUGAGUGGUUUUUGCAUGGAUAGAGAACUAGUGAAAGUUGGUAAUUUUGCCCUGUACUUGCCAUCCCUGGACUAGAGGGUGACAAGUUAGGAGAAUAUUGGAAUAGCCGUGAUAAAAGGUAAUCAGGAACUUUAUUUUGGUGGUGCUCCUUCAACCAUACAUAAGGACUUGUAUAGGACAGCACAGUGAAAAUGGAUGGAAAAGGCAUUGCUAAGGUAAAAUCUACUAGAUACAGGCACCAAUUCAUUCAGUGAAUUCAGCAAAAAUAUGUGGUGGCCAAAAGAAGCUGAGGAUACAAUAAGAAGAUAUAGACCCUGCUCUCAGGGAAGAUUCACAAAAGGCUUCCUUUCUGAAGUGAGUCUCAGAGCAUUAGGGAAGGUUAGCCCGGUGAAUUGGUGGUGUCAGGCAGGGUGGGAGAAGCAGGGUGUAGACUGGUGUGUGAUACGUGAGGAACUGCACUUAACACGACACGGGGUUGCAGGGGCGAGGCAGCAAGCUGUGAGAGCUGGACAGGGGCCAGGUGGUGAGGGUCACGUGGCCCAUGUUAAAGGCCUUAGAAUUUGUGCUGUGGACUCUGGCGCCGUCUAAGGUCAGGGAGGCCACUGGGGGCAGUGUGGAUGGUACAUGUAUGGGAAAGCAGGCUGGAGGCUCAAAGAGUGGUUAGGAAGCCAUGCAGUUGUCCAGGUGACAGAGGGCUUGGAGGACAGGGCCGAGAGCACAGAGGGACAGGGCUGGUCGGAUGUGGGGCGUGAGGGAGUGGUGGAUGACUGUGACUUCGUGGCCGUGGGCCGAGUAAAGGAUUUUGAUACAAAGCGGGACUGAAGGCCAGGAGAGGGCGAUGGUUCAGUAAGGGCAAGGAUGACUUGCGGUUUUUAAACUGAGUUUUGAGGUACUUGUGGCACCUCCGCUUACCAGUAGCCAGCAGGCUGUUGGAUAUGAGUCUGAAGCUGGGGACUGAUGUCUGGGCUAGAAAUACUGAUUUGGGAGUCCUUAGCAUUUAUGUGGCUUGAAAUCACACAGGUUAGAUGAGCUCUCUCAGGGAGGAAUGUCAAGAGUACAGACACUGGUCUGGGGAUACCCCCAUGGAAGGGGGAGGUGCAGGCCUGAGAAAAAGAGGAGAGCGGACAUUCAGGGCCUUUCCAAAAGGGAGGCUGGAUCACCAGGGGCAGCUGCAGAGGUGGGAGGUGGCGGGGAGCAAGGAAAAGGAAAGCAUCAAGCUGCCCAGGACUUGGAGAAGGUGGGGCGGUGGGGGGCUCCCGAUAAACACAGAGUCAGGAAAGGGAGCUUGCUUGGGCAAGACGGGAGAUGAUUCAAUUUGGGGGAGUUGUUUUGGAUCGCGUUUCACAGGCAGCUGGAAUUUAAAGUUGUGGCGCUCAAGGAACAGGUUGGUUUAGAGGUAGGGAUGUGAGAGUCAUUUGCCGAGAGACUGACUAGAUAAAACCUUGGGGAAAGUCGUUUAGGGGCGGGAGGCUAGAACUGGCCAAAUAACAAUGAAGGUAGGGAUUUGAUGUAGUUCAUGGAGGCCAAACCUAUAGGCACGUGGGUGCCAUUCCUGGGAAAUCUGCCUCCCUCCUGGUACAGCAUGUGUGGACUCCGGUGAGGUCCUGGGAGGGAAGGCUGCUGUAGAAGUGGCCCAGCUAGAGAAUUACGCCAGCCCCCUUCCGCCUCCCCCGAAUUGUUUAUUCGUUUUAAUCAUCCUGUUUCUUAAUCCGCGUCAGCUGGGGUCAGUGUAAGAUUCAGCCAUGGAAAACAAUUUUGAAGUCUCUUUUCUCCUUGGGCGUUUGGAAUUUAAAAUGGAUUUUCACAGGAGCUAAGUCAUGUGAGCUGGAGAGUGUGGAAACCUGCUUCUUUCGGAACCUGAAACCUACCUCCAUUGCCUGUGGCAGGAUUAAUCCGGUGGCAUCCACUCACUUGCCAAAGGCUCUCAAAUACAAAGGAAAUGAACGCGAAGUAACAACACGGAGACAGCGUCGCUGGGACUUGUGCGGCGCUGGGAGACGUGCCAACUGGGAGACUUGACACCUUCACUUGCCUGACCCGGAGGCUCCCGCUAUCCCUGCAGGACUGGCUGGCACUGCAUGUUGCCCUCGGCACACCCAAACAGGAGUCCUGCCCAGAACAGCCUCGUUGCAACAGCAGCACUGAGGGUGAAUGAAGGCUUCCGGGAGGAAGAUGGCUCCAUCCCUCUGUACAGUUCUCACCCCUAGGAAGGGAGAGGGGCUUGGUUCAGAGGCCCCCCACCUAAGGGCCUGUAUUCGACUCUGAGCUGCCUGUGUCACAUGCUGCCACGUGGGGAGCCAGCCUGGGUCAGUCGUCCCAGGUGCUGAGCCCAAAAGCCACUGCACCCUCUACCAGCGUUUGGAACUGGCUGUGCCCCGUCCCUUCCCAGCCACUGUCCUUGGGAGGAGAGCCUUUUCCAACUUUCUUCAAAAAAUUAAAUAGUUAUCUGUCUUGAA